CCUCUUUUCUCAGGGAAGAACACAAUGACGGUACCUGAGGAAUAAGCAUCGGCUAACUCCGUGCCAGCAGCCGCGGUAAUACGGAGGAUGCAAGCGUUAUCCGGAAUGAUUGGGCGUAAAGCGUCCGCAGGUGGCAAUGUAAGUCUGCUGUUAAAGAGUCUAGCUCAACUAGAUAAAAGCAGUGGAAACUACAUAGCUAGAGUACGUUCGGGGCAGAGGGAAUUCCUGGUGUAGCGGUGAAAUGCGUAGAGAUCAGGAAGAACACCGGUGGCGAAGGCGCUCUGCUAGGCCGUAACUGACACUGAGGGACGAAAGCUAGGGGAGCGAAUGGGAUUAGAUACCCCAGUAGUCCUAGCCGUAAACGAUGGAUACUAGGCGUGGCUUGUAUCGACCCGAGCCGUGCCGUAGCUAACGCGUUAAGUAUCCCGCCUGGGGAGUACGCCGGCAACGGUGAAACUCAAAGGAAUUGACGGGGGCCCGCACAAGCGGUGGAGUAUGUGGUUUAAUUCGAUGCAACGCGAAGAACCUUACCAAGGCUUGACAUGUCGCGAAUCCUGGUGAAAGCUGGGAGUGCCUUCGGGAGCGCGAACACAGGUGGUGCAUGGCUGUCGUCAGCUCGUGUCGUGAGAUGUUGGGUUAAGUCCCGCAACGAGCGCAACCCUCGUUUUUAGUUGCCAGCAUUAAGUUGGGCACUCUAGAGAGACUGCCGGUGACAAACCGGAGGAAGGUGGGGAUGACGUCAAGUCAGCAUGCCCCUUACGCCUUGGGCUACACACGUACUACAAUGCUCCGGACAGAGGGCAGCAAGCAUGCGAAUGCAAGCAAAUCCCGUAAACCGGAGCUCAGUUCAGAUCGCAGGCUGCAACUCGCCUGCGUGAAGGAGGAAUCGCUAGUAAUUGCAGGUCAGCAUACUGCAGUGAAUUCGUUCCCGGGCCUUGUACACACCGCCCGUCACACCAUGGAAGCUGGUAGUG
rnacentral:rRNA from 1 species